rnacentral:rRNA from 1 species
AUGGAAGUUUGCCCACCGGUUGUUGACCCUGGCGACCCUCCUGCGUCCUAUGCUAACUGGUUUCGUCAAAAGCCUCGUGAAUGGCAGUGCAGAACGCCUUGUGUAGGCUGGAGAGCCACCACAUGGAUCCUAUCGAUCUCAAAUGUUACAUCUGCAAAGUGGAACAUUAACUGCACCUUUGAUAUUGCUGAUGUCACUGUCGACCCAAUGCAUUCUGAGCUGCUGCCUAAGCCGAGCAGCAUCAACGACAAUCCCAGUGAAGCAUCAUUGCAGUGCCUCGUCAUUGGUUUUCCCACCAUGAGCAUGGAUGAGGAUGUUGUCUACAUGCUGUCUAAGGCCUGCCCCAUGGGUUCGAUGGAAGUUGUGAUUGCUAUUGACAUGAAGAAGAAGAAGGUGCAAGGAGUUGCGAAGCUUGUUACCGGAAAAGACUUCACUUAUACGCGUAACUGCACCAGCGAAGUCUCCAAAUAUCUUAGUGAAGACAAGGCACAAGUUAAGCUUGAUGAGCAGACAUAA